UCGGCCCGUCUGUUCCUUCCGUCUGCUGCCACCCAGCCUGCAGCCACUUUACUCGCACACUUUCCGUCUCUCCCGCCACACACCCUGUUUUCCUGCCAUCUGCGACCAUAUGAGUGCCUUGCGUCCCUUCUUCUCUUGCCGUCCUCCAUUUACCGCCCGCUACAGCUUCCAAACUCGCUCCUGUUCGUCGAAAUACGACCGCCAUGUGCUCGGCCCUUUGCACCACUUCGCACCUCUCCGAUUUCUUGCUUCAUAAUUGUUCGACAGUUGCCUCUGCUUUUCUGUUCUCGCGCUAUUUUACCAUUCAUUCUCACUUCUCAGCCCUCAAUUGGUCUCAGCCUUGCGCCCAGAUAUUGCUGGACAAAACCCCCUGAUUGCUGCUUGGAUCCCAUUCACACCCGCAAAUCAUCGCUACUGCAGUAUAACCGUGCUCUGCCUGCCAAUGUUGUCUCUAUGCACUUUGUUUAGACGAUGGAAAUAUACCAUGCGUUCCUCACCAAGUCUUUUCACAUUUGCUGAUGUUUACCGCCAUAUAUCUUGCACCCAUCUCACGAAUACCAUGCACGUUAUGUUCCAAAAGGGUGUCCGCUUGCUGCUUGAUAAACUAUGUCCUUGUUUGUGUAGAUAACUCUUGAGUGCAUGCACUUUCUACAUUGUCGUGUUGUGCAGAGAAAAUAUGAAUGUCAAAACCCAUCCUCUUGCAAGCGUUACAUUUCUACAUUGAAAUUAACAAGGGAACUAAAGAGUUACCUCAAGUAGUUUUUAAAUGCCUGGGGAUAGGUUCCCAUUCCUGAGCUGUACUUUAAUUUAUUUCAUGGGAUGUUAUUCUGUUGUUCGUUCUCAUAUAAGAGCAUAGUUUUCUGGCCUGCUUCCCAAGGAUUUUAAUUUUGACGAUAACGAUGAUUUUGAUGGUAACGACUAUUGCCCUUGUAAAGUUCAGUUGGUAUGAUCCUAAUUUUUUGUAAAGGUGAGGGACUUCAACUGUUCUUUCUUACUUUCUUCAGAUAAAUUUCAAAUUUUUAAACUUGAAUUUGCAGAUAUGUAGCGGUUGUGUUAAUGUUCCUUGAGAGUUGGUUCAAUUGUUUUGUUUUUUUCCCCCUCCCCCCAUUAAUAUUGCCGAAUCUCUUAACUGCGAAGUUGUCUGGUCCGUGAAUUUUUCACUCAGCUUGCUUGAAGCACGAAGCUGUCGCAAUCUGGUUCUUAUAUCAUGGGUUCAGCUGGGCAAAUCUAUGUAGAGCUUUCUGCAUGAAACCUGCAAGAAAUGAGGUUAUUUGUAUUGACCUGGGUAGUGCAAACUUCUGUGUUGCAGUCAUGGACGGAAAGGACCCCAGAGUCAUCGAAAAUGCCGAAGGAGCUAGAACCACACUAUUGUGGUUGCCUUCAACCAGAAGGCUGAAGUCCUUGUUGGUACACCAGCAAAAUGACAGCCAGUGACCAAUCCGACAAAUAUGGUCUUUGGAACCAAGCAUUUGAUUGGAAGACCCUUUGAUGAUCCCCAAACUCAGAAAUAAAUGAAGAUGGUCCCCAUGAAAUCAUUAGGCCUCUAAAUGGAGAUGCCUGGGUUGAGGCUGAUGCACAUCAGUAUUCCCGUAGUCAAAUUGGUGCCUUCAUCCUCACUAAGAUGGAGAUUGCGGAGGCAUAUAUGGGGAGGACAAUCACUGACGUCGUUAUUGUCAUUCCCCUCAUAUUUCAAUGACGCCCAGCAACAAAUCAUGCUGGAGAAUUGUAGGACUUGAGCUCCAGAGAAUCAUCAAUGAGCCCAUUGCUACUCUACUGUCCUAUUGUAUGAACAAGAAGGAACGUCUAAACCAUGGUUUUCAAUAUUGGGGAUGGAACAUUCAUUGUUUCCACCUUGGAGACAUCAAUGGUUUUUUGAGGUACACACCAGUAAUAUUAUCAUGAAUUGAACUCAUCGUGUGCUACAUCUUGCUUAAGUUUCCUCUAGAAGUUCUCGGUGUGCACUUUCAAGGCAAAACCACCGGUAGUGACACGUCCUUGGGAGGAGAGGAUUCCAAUUGUUGGACCGCUUAGUCAAUGAGUUCAAGAGAACCGAGGGAAUUGAUCUUUCCAAGGACGGGCUUGCCCUACAGAGCCUUCGAGAAACUACUGAGAAGGCCAGGAUAGAGCUCUCAUCAACAUCCCAGACAGAAAUUAACUUACCAUUUAUCACUGCAGAUUCUUCAGGAAGAAAAGCGACUUGCAUCUUCUUUAAUGCAAUUUGUAUGCCUGCCUAUGCCUAAGCAUUAAAGGAAGAAAAUGAAUGCUACCAAGAAGCGCCGCAAGAGGGCCCAUCCGUACGCUGCUACAAGUGGGUGCUUACUGCAGUAUCAUCACCCAGCAUUGCCAUCUGCCCUAGGCAGCUCCUACUUGUCCCAUGUCCAUUGCUCUUCCCCAUGUAGCUGCCACUGUUUGGUUUUCCACAUUUUUUGCUGCUUUGUUAAUUUGCUACAGCUAUAUGCUUCACUUCUUGCUGCGUUUUGGAAUUCCACUGCGGUCAAAGAAAUGCUUUUUGAAUAAUAAUGUAUACUGCUGCCCCAGCCAAUAUGGAUCACCUUACCCUUGUUGGCCCCUAUGUUUUUCUGUAGAUAUUAUUUAUUACUUGGCACAUGUUUUAUAACUUAUGCUCUGGCAUUAUA